rnacentral:rRNA from 1 species
AUGAAGCAAAUUAGGCACUACAUAAUAACAAACUGCGAGGAAUCCAACUCAUGGACAGAUGAGCAUCUGGAUGAGCUUACAAGGGCUGGUGCUCGCGAUGUCCAGAAACGGCACAGAGAUGAGUUUGUAGAUUGGUUCGAGAGGCGUAUCCAGGCACUUCACAAAGAAGGGAAAGUCAAUGAUCUUUUGUAUGCCCUAUCUAGAGGACCUGACCCUCAAGCUCGUGUUUAUAAUGGCACCUUCAUCAAUGGGUUUUUCUUUAGAAAUGAUAGUGUAGAAAGAGAUUUGAAUACCCAAAACAACGGUGUUGUUGUUAGGGGUGAUGCUCGAUCUGGCAACCUUGAUUGGUUUGGUGUGAUCAAGAAAAUUAUUUGUGUAGAUUUUCCCUCGGAAAAGGAGGUAGUGCUAUUUCAAUGUGACUGGUUUGAUGUGCCCUUUGCCAAUAAAAAUCAAAGCACGGGCUACAAGAAGGAUGAUUAUGGCUAUAUCGAUGUAGAUACUACCCGACUUUGA